GGGUGUUUAGCUCAGCGGGAGAGCGCUUCCUUCACACGGAAGAGGUCGUAGGUUCGACACCUAUAACACCCACCA
rnacentral:tRNA from 2 species